rfam:Lepisosteus oculatus linkage group LG21, whole genome shotgun sequence.
GCAAGCAGCCAUAUCACCCUGCAACUCACAACUUGUAACCCACUGAAGCUAAGCAGGUGUGAGCCUGGUCAGUACCUGGAUGGGAGACCUCCUGGGAAAUACUAAGGUUGCUGCUGGAA